rnacentral:lncRNA from 1 species
GGAAAUUAGGUGACAGAUCAAGAAUAACAACUGAAAGAACGGAAAGAACCUUGACAGAGACAGAAACAUACGGCAAAAAAUUAGGUGACAGGUCAAGAACAAAAAUAAAGGAAAUAAUAGAAAUAACGGAAAAAACGGAAAGAACCUCCAGAGGGACAAAAACAUACGGAAGAAAAUUAGGUGACAGGUCAAGAACAAAAAUAAAGGAAAUAAUAGAAAUAACGGAAAAAACGGAAAGAACCUCCAGAGGGACAAAAACAUACGGAAGAAAAUUAGGUGACAGGUCAAGAACAACUACGGAAAGAACGGAAAGAACGGAAAUAACCUCCACAGAGCGAGAAACAUAUGGCAGAAAAUUAGGUGACAGGUCAAGAACAACAACGGAAAUAACGGAAACAACGGAAAUAACAGAAAGAACGGAAAUAAUAACGGUAAAAACGAAAAUAACCUUUAGAGAUACAGAAACAUACGUCAGACAAUUUGGUGACAGAUCAAGAACAACAACGGAAAUAACUUAAAUAACGGAAAUAACGGAAAUAACCUCCACAGAGACAGAAACAUUCGGCAGAAAAUUAGGUGACAGAUCAAGAACAACAACGGUAAUAACUGAAAUAACGGAAAUAACGGAAAUAACCUCGACAGAGACAGAAACUUAGGGCAGAAAAUUAGGUGACAGGUCAA